UUUAAUUCGACGCAACGCGAAGAACCUUACCUGGGCUUGACAUGUUCUUGAUCGGCGUGGAAACACGUCUUCCCUCACGGGCAAGAUCACAGGUGGUGCAUGGCUGUCGUCAGCUCGUGUCGUGAGAUGUUGGGUUAAGUCCCGCAACGAGCGCAACCCCCGUCGUAUGUUGCCAGCAUUUAGUUGGGGACUCAUGCGAGACUGCCGGUGGCAAACCGGAGGAAGGUGGGGAUGACGUCAAGUCAUCAUGCCCCUUAUGUCCAGGGCUACACACGUGCUACAUUGGCGUAUACAAAGGGUUGCGAUACCGCGAGGUGGAGCGAAUCUCACAAAGUACGUCUCGGUUCGGAUUGCAGGCUGAAACUCGCCUGCAUGAAGGUGGAGUUGCUAGUAAUCGUGGAUCAGCAAUGCCG
rnacentral:rRNA from 1 species